AAAGGAUGAUUUUUCCAGACUCACAGCCUUGAUAGAGUCUGUGAUUGCUGCUCAGAAUCAACCAUCUCCACCUCCUACAACUCCUCCUCCUCAGAGGACUGUUAUUUCAAAGAUUUCUUUAUCAUCUGUGCCUGUGGUUGCUAGCCAGUCUAUUCCUACCAUGCCUGUUGGGUUCUCAUGAGGGAUGCCACCAAACUUUGUGCCUGAAGGGUACGUGCCAACAUUUUCUUCUGUGUUGGCAUCUAGCCCGGUACUGUCUUUACCUCCUCCUAUUGUG
rnacentral:lncRNA from 1 species